rnacentral:rRNA from 1 species
CCUACGGGCGGCAGCAGUGGGGAAUAUUGGACAAUGGGGGGAACCCUGAUCCAGCCAUGCCGCGUGUGUGAAGAAGGCCCUCGGGUUGUAAAGCACUUUCAGUGAGGAAGAACGCCUGGUGGUUAAUACCCAUCAGGAAAGACAUCACUCACAGAAGAAGCACCGGCUAACUCCGUGCCAGCAGCCGCGGUAAUACGGAGGGUGCGAGCGUUAAUCGGAAUUACUGGGCGUAAAGCGCGCGUAGGUGGCUUGAUAAGCCGGUUGUGAAAGCCCCGGGCUCAACCUGGGAACGGCAUCCGGAACCGUCAAGCUAGAGUGCAGGAGAGGAAGGUAGAAUUCCCGGUGUAGCGGUGAAAUGCGUAGAGAUCGGGAGGAAUACCAGUGGCGAAGGCGGCCUUCUGGACUGACACUGACACUGAGGUGCGAAAGCGUGGGUAGCAAACAGGAUUAGAUACCCGUGUAGUC